CUCCGUGUUGAUUUCUAAUAUCCCAAAAAUAUAAAGAACAUUCAAUUCAAUAACAUAACAGAGGGACGGUCCGAUCCGUCCGGACAAGAGGACACUUCUCAGGUCCGGUCCAUUUUAAUUUAUAAUUCCUAAAAUAAAGAGACAAAGUGAAAAAGUGAAAAAGAGAGCUUGUAAGCACAAUUUCAAUUUCAAACGUUUAUUGCAAAACAGCGCUUCCUCUCCCUCUCUACCUCGGGCGGCGUUACGGUGAAAACCCGACGAAUUUCCAGCCGGAAGUAAUUAAUACUCGAAUAGACCUUAAUGGCGUCUACUGGACAACCACAGUCAUCUUUGAAGAGACCUAGUCCUGCAUUUAACAGAGAAGGAGAUAAACUCAUGAUCACUCCUUUAGGGUCUGGGAAUGAAGUGGGACGGUCAUGUGUUUACAUGUCUUUCAAAGGAAAAAGAGUCUUGUUUGACUGUGGCAUUCGUCCAGCUUACUCAGGCAUGGCUGCUUUGCCGUAUUUUGAUGAAAUUGAUCCUUCAACUAUUGAUGUUCUUCUCAUUACCCAGUAAGUUUUCUGUGCCUUAGUUCUAUAAAUUGAAUAGGUAUUGCAGUACGGUACUUCUUCUCCCAAAGUGUUCUAUUGCUUAAACAAAUGCAAAGCUCAUCUGAGCUAAAUUCAUGGUGGAGCUUAUUUUGAGUUUUGACUGUAUAUUGGUUUGAUUCUUUAUGUUCAUGUUGCUAAGGCUCCAGAAGAAGAGUGGUUAAGUUUCAACGCAAGACGAAAACAAAUUAUAAAGACGAAAGAAGAUGCACAACUAAGUAGAAUUAAUAUUAUGGGCUAUUAUGUUUGGGCGAUUCUAUGUGUUCUUGGUAGAGCUUUUGGCGGAUCUUCUUAUACAAGAGGACUCAGAGAAAGAAAAAAAAAAAGCACUGCCAUUAACCAACUAAAAAACCUAAUCUUUCGUUGGAAGAUGGGAGGAAAAGGGUUUCUUUUCUGGGAGACAAUGUUAAUUAAAUGUUAGAAUUAGAUUAUUCUUUUGUGAGGUUUUGUUGCUGAAAGUUGUACCUGUAAUAUCCAAAUUGCGCCUCUUAGUAGCUACUGUCAGUUGUUUGUUUAAGUUCCUUUAGUGAAGGGACCAAAAGUACUCAUAUUGUUUAACUAAAGGUUAAAUGUGAUUCGUCUAAUAUCACAAGGACUAAAAUUGGAAUUAACUGGUAACGUAAGGACCAAAGGUGCUAUUUUCUAAUUCUUUAUUGUUCUGCUCAUUUAAAAUGGUUCAAACAUAAUAUGGGACAAAGGAAGUAACUUAUUAUAUCGUUCUCAGCGCUGACUUGUAAUAUUUUUUAUGUUCGUGAUUACAUACCUAUCAGUUGAAAAAGAAGAUUUUCAUUUUGUGAUUAUACUCUCACAUGUUUGUAAGUGCACAAACUUCAAAUGGUUUGAAGUCAUCAAUGGACUAGCUCAUCAUUAUUUGAAAUUAUUUUUGUUAUUAUUGAUAAAAUGGUGCAAAUAGGGGACGAAUGCUUCAAAGAGCCCUUGACGAGUUAUUAGAAGCAAAACGGCCAAUGUUCAGAGAAAAAAAGCUUUACUAGUAGUUCUUUUUAAUUGUCACCCACCCUUCCAAUUGUGAAGUUGUGGCUUUGAUUAUGUCAAUGGUUCCUGGAUAGAGUUGUUUUUUUAUUUCAAUAGUUAUUUAUUGUUUUCCUUGUAUUCGGUUAUUGACAGUCUUGAUUA